CUUAAUUAAAUUUCAACGUCUGUGUUGGGGCUCAACAUUAUACAAGUGGUUGCAUAAACAAAUUUGUCAAUUGAACCUGUACUCUGCACUCUCUAAAAAAAUUGACGUACAUGUUUCAAGGGACCAAAUCAUCAUAUAAGAUCAAACUCAGAAGAAACACAUAACAAGAUUGUCUAAUGCACUUCCAUAUGAUAAAAGAGCUUUGAGUCCUUGCAUUAACUGUGUAUCUAGCCAAAUUGAAAUUAUUUAUGACACAAUUAGGCAGCUUGUACAAAAGGUAGCGUCCAAUGAUACAUGGUUUAGCUCCUACCAUGACAACAGUCCUUUAUGCUUGGCUGUUAUUUUCAUGUCAAACAUGACCUCAACUCAGCUUUUGUCUCCCAAACAUUAAGCUGCAGGAAUGCAAGAAACUGUGGCAUAUUCCAGCGGAAACGCUUCUUCAUCUCUCUCUUUCUCCCCAUACCUAACAUGCAUUUGUUGUGAUGAAAACAUCAGAAUAGAAGUACAAGUUUGGGCCUUAAGUAAUCAAUAAUCUCACAUAACAUGUUAACAUAUACAUUCAAUGACUUUCACAAGCAUGAGAUUAGCACUUGUUUAUGUUGGCGCAUGAAUUGUAGUCACUAGUCAAUAAUCGAUAAUGCCAAUUUGUCUCAUACUUGGGUUUCUAUGCUUGACAUUGGGAUAUCCAUAGAAAUUUGAAGUGAUAUACUCCACUGAACUCAAGACCUAAAUCCAAAGGUGAGCAUUACAAGUUUACAACCAAGUCUCUGAAAAUAAAAGAAAUAUGUCCUAUUAAACCCAAAUUCCAUUUCGGAUUCGGUCAGCUGAGUUCAUUGCAAAGUUUAGCAUCCCAAAUCUUACAGAAUAAAAUCAACAGCUUUAUCUCAGGAAGGAAUACCAAAUUUACAUCUAAAAGAUAUCAUUGACUACUCCCACCUAAGCAUGUUCCAGGGCAGUGAUGUUCUAGACAAUGUCUAGCCAUAUCCAACACAAUUGGACAAAGUAGCAACACUCAGAACUCAAGCCCACACACUUGCCACAACAGUUUAUACACUCCUAAAGCAUCCUCAUCAUACAAAACCUAUACAAUGAAACAUGAACAAAGCAUUAAAACAUAAAUUUAAUUGAUUCAUGGACUCAAUUACUUCAUUAUUCAUAAGGAGUUGAGCAUUUGUCCUUGUUGUUUCAACACUAUGAAUAUUAUUUUUUUAAUUCAAUUUUUCCCUUCCUCUGAAAUAAGAGAACCCUUAGGCAUUUACAGAACUAUCACAUAUCAACACGAACUGAUUAUUCAAGAGGUCAGAUUAUAGGAAGUUACAGAGAAAUGGGUACCUAUAGAGCAAGAAGAAGGGUAGGGAAGGAAGAAGAAGCAAGGAGGAGAGGAAGAAAGAGAGAACAAAGGAAUUUUACUAAUGCAAUUGUUAAACACACAAUUACCAUUACAGAUGAGCUAUUAAUAGAGACUUCUCAACAAGCAAAUCAUUCAGCCAAUUAACUACACAUACUUAACAGAAAAUCUAACAAACUAACCACCUUCAACAGAUCACAACAGCUUUUCAACCAUUUUCCUGCUUCCACAACUAAUUUAUUAUUCUUCCACAGCUACCUAGCUUGUUAAUCCAAACAGCACAUGUCAAUAUGAUGCAGCGUGAAGCUCGAAAACACAACACUCACACAAUACACAAUUAUUGAGAGUAGGGGGAAAAAACUCUGAUGAAAAUUAUGUUAGCUGAAAACUAAACUUUAAUAUAUGAGUUUUGGGUUAUUUAUAGAAGUUUGGGUCUCCUAAACCUAAUAGGAAUUAAAACUACAAUUUAGGAAGCUUAUCCAAACUAAAAAUACAAUAGGAAUCAUAAAUGAAAUAGGAAGAAAUCUAAAUCCUAGUUGGAAUAGGAAAAUAAAUACAAAUCCUAAUUAGAAUAGGAAAACAUCUAAAUGAAUCCCCAGCUUUUUCUUGCCCACUACUGGAAGUCAAACAGGCCUAGAAUAGGAAGAACUAACUUGGAGGCAUGUUAGAAUCAACUUGGGCAAGUCUUCACGUCUGGUCCAGUGAGGAACAAGCCUUGGGCAUGGUCUUUACUGUCUAAUUUUGGCUGCCCCUGUGGAAAACAGAGAAACAAGCCCUGGGCGUGUUCUUCUCUGACCCAAAAAUGAAGCUCCGCAUCACAAUACAUUCCCCUCAAAAGCUUCUUUGUCCUCAAAGAAGAAAAUUGGAAACAAGCUCAAACCGCUUCUUCGUACAACAUCCCUCUCUCAAACUGCAUCUCAUAUUGUGGACACACCCAUAGCACACCCCAUACCACGGUUUCGCCCUCAUACCGUGGCGACAAUCAUUUCUUCUCUUUUUUUACAUUAUUAUCAAACACCACUUACUAAUAACAUCAUGAUCCAACUAGAACAUUAGCAAACGAUCUCCUAUAAUUGCAAGCUACAAGCCUCAAAUCCACUGAAUUUCUCUAACAUAUCAAAAUUCAACCACUCAACAUCUUCUUCACUUUCAUCAUGAAUCUGCAUUUCUUCUUCAUAUUCAUCUGGAACCUGCAUGUCUUCUUUUUCUUACUUGUCACAAUAACACCAAGUGUAUUCCCCAUAAUCAACAUUUGUACCUUGGAUCUGUAGGUUACUUUUUCUUCAACAUCAUCUAUAAGGGUAACCAACAAUGCCGCUCCGUCACAACUAUGGCCAAGUGUAUGCAUUUCUUGAGUCUUGACACCACAAACAAAGACCUUUAUCUCUUCUUUCAUUCAAUUCUGACUGUUUUUGUGAUUGAGAAAGAAACAUAAUUCAUGGCUCAGUGACUUCUUAAUUCUUUCUAAAAAAUUCUUUUUUCUUCUCAUCGUGGGAUUGAUUUAUACAUUGUAAUUCUUAAGUUUCUCGAGAUUCAUGCAUCUUACUUCAUCCUCCAUAGUUUCUUGUUGCAGAUUAGGAAUAGAAUUGAGGAAAGGAGUGGAAUCAAGAUAUUGAAGCAAAUGAAUCAAGAAAAAAAAAAGAAAUGAAA
rnacentral:misc_RNA from 1 species